AUGAGACAGAAGAUCUUCUUUCUAAAGAGAUUCGAUUCGGAACUUUUAUAUGUCCAAGGUCAAUAUGGAAAUUCUUUCAGAUAUUUUCCCUUACUUUGUUGA
rnacentral:rRNA from 1 species